GCCGAAGAAAGAGAUGUAAUGUUGAGAGCAUUGAAACUUAAGAAAGAUGUAUUCUCAAGAUAUUACCUGAAUGACGAAUUCGAAGACGUUGAAUUCAAUUUCAAUUUAAUCGAUGAUGUUCUGAUUGGAUAUCCAUUUUCUGUACGACUAAAGGCCAAAAAUAAGAGUGCUGAAAAAUCUUACACCAUCAAGGUUAUUCUUCGAGUGGAUACCGUGUUAUAUACUGGAGAAA